rnacentral:rRNA from 1 species
UACGUAGGGGGCUAGCGUUGUCCGGAAUCAUUGGGCGUAAAGAGCGUGUAGGCGGUCCGGUAAGUCCGUUGUGAAAGUCAGGGGCUCAACCCUUGAAUGGCCGGCGGAUACUGUCGGGCUAGAGUCCGGAAGAGGCGAGUGGAAUCCCGGUGUAGCGGUGAAAUGCGCAGAUAUCGGGAGGAACACCUAUGGGCGAAGGCAGCUCGCUGGGACGGCA